ACUGGAAAUAAUAAUUGCAGUGUACAAGGGACUGAAACUUGAUGAUCAGUUGCAGAAGUCUCAUUGACUCUACGGGGAUCAUGAAACACAUGAAACCAAUCAAUACUCCUCCAGCGGAACAAAUUCUUUUCCCAGCAACCACAAUGAAUAAACAAGUUUCAAGUGACAUCGAGACUACUUGGGAUUCUUUCUGAUUCAGUUGUGCACAUAUGGACUGAUGCCAGUGGAACCAAUGGAAUGUCUCUGGAUAUACAUUCACUGUGACUGAGGUAUCCCCAAUGAUUUGAUCAGUUAAAAUAGCUGAAUGAAGCUGAACCAGGGCAGAGGACAUAAAGGAAGGCUGUGGCAAGACAGGAAACAUGUCCCUAAAAAUCCAGUAACUCUUGCAGCAAGAAGAUGUGGUCCCAAAUAAUGUGCCUGGAUGUGCUGUCGUGGAAAGAUGUGGCGUGGCUUCCUUUACAACG